GACGAACGCUGGCGGCAUGCCUAACACAUGCAAGUCGAGCGAAUGAAGUUCCUUCGGGAACGGAUUUAGCGGCGGACGGGUGAGUAACACGUGGGCAACCUGCCUCAUAGAGGGGAAUAGCCUUCCGAAAGGGAGAUUAAUACCGCAUAAGAUUGUAGUACCGCAUGGUACAGUAAUUAAAGGAGCAAUCCGCUAUGAGAUGGGCCCGCGGCGCAUUAGCUAGUUGGUGAGGUAACGGCUCACCAAGGCGACGAUGCGUAGCCGACCUGAGAGGGUGAUCGGCCACAUUGGGACUGAGACACGGCCCAGACUCCUACGGGAGGCAGCAGUGGGGAAUAUUGCACAAUGGGGGAAACCCUGAUGCAGCAACGCCGCGUGAGUGAUGACGGCCUUCGGGUUGUAAAGCUCUGUCUUCAGGGACGAUAAUGACGGUACCUGAGGAGGAAGCCACGGCUAACUACGUGCCAGCCGCCGCGGUAA
rnacentral:rRNA from 1 species